GGGAAAAAAAAUACUUUCCAAACAUGUCAAUGCAGAACACUUUGGAUUAUUGCAAUAGCUUCAUUAGUUUCUUUUCCUCAAAUCUCCUCUAUUCCAACAGUUACUGCACACAACUGCCAAACUGAUUUUCCUUAAGUACAAAUCAUUCUAUUUCACUCCCCUAUUCAAGUUCCAAAAAUUUCUAAUUGCCUCUGUGAUAAAAUAUAAACUCCAGUUUGACUUCAAAAGUCUUUUUUCAAUCUGGCCCUAUCUUUCCAUACUGAAGUUCUAGCCUAAGAGGCUCUCUUAGUUCCUCACAAAGCUAAUUUCAAUCUAAAUUGUAUGUUUGGAUUUAAACACAACUACCUAACAAACUCAAUUAUCUAUAAAAUAACCAGAUCUCCAGUAGAUGAUAUUCAUUUCCACCAGUAAUAAGGACAAUAUCAGCUAUACCAGCAAAUGAACAUUGCUCUCAACACCCAAAGCUUAACGGUAGCAAAUAAAUUUACUUUACAAACUAGAACUAAAUGAUGAUUAUGAAGAAUAAAAUUAGGAAAAAAUAAAUGCUUUGAUCAAUGAAGAAUUGAAAAAAAUUAAAGUCUAAAAUACACUGGUUUUUAAUUGAACAUGUAUGACACAAUUCAAUGAAAUAUUAGAAUCUAUUGCCAAGAAGAAAACAGAACUGAAGAAAAAUAUCAUUAAAGACAUCAAAUUUUCUAUUUCAGUGGCCCUGCAUGUGUAUGUAUACACAUACAUAUGACUACAUUUCUAUGUAAAUUGGUAAUGAAUGACAACCUCUAGAUUAGUUUGUCACCUGAAUGUAGUUGUUUCCUUGUGAAAAGAUCAUUCGACAUGAUUAAUAUAUUAAUUCUAAGCUCAUAAUUCAAUUGACUGACAAAAUAUGAAUUUACUUCUUUCAAAAAAAAUAAGCACACAAAACAAAAAUAAUGAAAAAAAAUCAGAAUUAAUGUUAUGGAAAUCAACAAAUGUAAUUUAAAAUUUUCAAAAUGGCAUUUAUACUAAUUCUAACACGAUUUAGUUUCUGAAAAAUAUAGAGUAUAAAAUUGAAAAGUGAAUAUCUUAAAAGAAAAAUGGAAAAUGAUUUCCUCAGUUCUUUCUCAGAAUAGCAUGCUACUAUUUAACCUUAAAAAUAUAUACACUUAACAAUCAAUCAAGAAAAACUAAGUGCCCAGAUUGUUUGAGCCACUAAGUAAAUAUAGGGCAUAUAUAUGCCCUAUAAGUUUUAAGAGGAAAAUAGUCACUCAAAACAAUCUCAAGGACUAAAAAAACCUUCCUUCUUAAUGAACAUAUAUUUCCAAAAUAUUUUAAAACUUCAAUUUUAUGCUGUUUCACUAUGAAAAUCAAAAGCAAAUUUCCUACUCAUCACGUAAAAGCUUUUAUGUCAGGGUUAGUUUUUUCUAUGUAAGUACCAAAAUAGUCAAAUAAACCACCAAAGAUCAAUUUACAGUGCAAUUGCUUGGAGAAAAUGUUUUAAUAUUUUUAAAAUAAGUGAUUUCCAUUUCUAGAUCUUUAUCAUAAGGCAUGGAUAUUCUAUCAUUUUAAGUUCAAUUUAAAAUAUUCCUUCCUUUAGCUCUUAACUAAAAGCUGCUUUUCAUACUAUCACAUUUUUCUCAGUGGCACUACCAUGCAAGUCAUAAAACCUUGGCUUCAUCUGAAUCCUUAUACUUUCAGUUUCUAUGUCCAAUCUGCAAACAAAUCUUUGACUCAAUUCACAAAAAUUUAAAGAAUUUGCUUUUUUGUCUAACACACUAGACUCUUAAUAUAAAGACAAAGAUCAAAGUCCCAACACUCAAGAAAUUUAUAUUCUAUCGGUGGGAAAUAUAUUACCCUAGUCCAUUUAUCCUGCCACCAAUCUGGUGCAGUUCCUGAUUAGGGCAACAAUCUCAUGCACCUGGUGCCCCUGACUUUAAGAUUCCUUUCUUCCUCCAAGGUAAACUUAUCACUGCAAAAGAUCUCAAUACAUCUUUUUCAUGCUAUCAAGGUACAGAUGGAAAAUUUACAAAGACAUUAUGUCUAUAUUCUUUACAUAGUUUAAAAACCCUUCUAAAACCUAGCCAAUUUUAUUUACAACUUCUGUACAAUAAGAUAGCAUCUGUUCUGUAAAGCAGGUUGUCCUUAUUACCUCAGCUCCUUAAAUCUCACCUUCCAUCUCUUCUCCCUAUCCAAAUCUCAUCCAUUAUUCACAUCUCAUCUUCAUUUUUUUCUAAUCAUAUGCAGCACACACUCAUCAUUUUUUGCAUUUCUACAGAAUACCCCACAAUUUAAAGUUACUAUACAUGUUUUCCUUCUUUAAAGGUCUACAUCCCGAUGAAGACCCAAAGGACAAAAAUGCCUCUGCAGGUUCUACUCAAGUUAGAUAGGCAAGAAUUGGUAGGUGAGGGACAAAGUAACGACACUUAAGUUUGCCUGUUAUCUGAGGUUUCACCUGGCUAAAUUCAGAAAUUUUAUCACCAGUUUGUUCAAAAGGUAAUGAAUUUUUCAGCCACAACAAUUCUCAAAAACUAUUUGCUGAAGUGUAAAUGGGUUAAAAAGUGAAAUAGCUAUAGUUUAAUUUCUCCAAAAUAUAUUACAAGCUCACCAUUUCAGACCAUACUUUUGUAUUCUUUUUCCCUCUACAUUAUUUAUUGUGCAUUGGGUACCUUAUAAGAAUUCAAUAAAGGAGUGCUGUCUUUCUGAUUUCAUUUUGAAGACAUCCUAUAUACAACUACAAUUUGAUUCAAGACAAAUGCUGGCUCAUCUAUAAUUUUUAUCUUCUCUCCUAACCAACAAUUCUUGAAAUGUGGCAUCAGUAUAAAAAUUGAAAGCAUUGAAAGUAGUAAAUAAACUUUUUUAUAAAUAACAGAGAAAAGAGAAAUUCCUUAACCUGAACCAAAGCUAUACAGAAAAUCAACCUUACAAAUAUUUCACUAACACAGAAGUUAACUCUCCACAUCUGUUUACUGGUGUUUGACAUGAGUAAAAGCAAAAGGAGCAGCAGCAGCAGCAAGGACAAAGGUGUUUUAUUCACAGCUGCAAAAAGGUGAAAUCAAAGGAAAGCAUUCAGCAAGCAAGACUGCAGGAUUUUUUUUAAAAAGUCAUUAUGAAUCCCCUGAAAGGGAAAAUAAAAAAAAUCCAACAGUCAUCUGAAGAAAGUCCAUCUCCUCCUGCAACGGGCAGACCAAAAGGAAAUAAGAACAAUAAUAAUUAUUUAAGAUUUUGAAAAUAAACAUUGUGAGGCAAAUAUGAGAAUUAACAGCCUCAUUUUACAAAUGAGGAAACAAGUGCUCAGGUCACAGAGUUUGGAGAUAAACUAAGAAUCCAGCACUCUUAGUACACCCCUGUGAGAGAUAAUAUGGGAUUAUAAUUUCGAAUAAAGUGAGUUUUGAAUGAAAAAGAAAACAGUUACGGAGUAAAUUAUGAAAUUGCUGUUGUUAAAAUGAGUGAAUCUAUGCGAUAAAGAAGUUGUAGAGAUAGGCAAGAAGGAUCACUCUGGCAUAACAGAUUUAGGACUAAAAGGAACCUCAAACGUCUCGUUAAAAUGCCUCGUUUUUGCAGGUAAAACUACGGGAAGGUAAAGUGACAUGCCCCAGGUCAAGCAAGUAACAAGUGGUAGCGCAAGGAUUGCCAACAGGAAGUUUAGCAUCCCUUUUCCCCGAAAGCAGCCUGCAGGAAAGAAGACGGAGGGGGAGGGAAAGGAGGAGAGGGGAGGUCCGGAGAAGGGAGGAGCAGCCCGAAAAGGGCAGAGCAUAUAAGCUGGGACUCAGAGCCAGAGAAGAAGAGGACUGGAGGCAAGAGCUCAAGCUUUCGGAGCCAAGGAGAGCCAGAUUUGUUCAUCCCAUCUUAUACUACCGUGGUGGCAGGCUCUCCUCCUUAGCUUCUCCACUGAAACCAAGACUCUGGAAAGCCUCGAAGAAAGCUAGCCAGGGCCCCAGGAAACGAGAUUGUGAAGGAGAUAAUAAAUGAUUUGGACUUUAAUACCUGGCUAUUACUGAACUGAAAGGAAGGCUGCUCCAAGACCACCAGAAAACCACCAAGAACAUUACAUUUUGGCAUCCGAACAUGGGACUAAGGACCUACAUCUUGACCCAUGUGUUCCCUUGGGGGACAAGUAUUCUUUCUUUUCUUUUUUAUCCUCAUUACUUUGUGUAUAAUGGUUGAUUAAUAAAUGUUUAUUGAAUAAACA